rnacentral:rRNA from 1 species
UCGGGCAAGGGCGAUGGCUCAGUACGGCGAGUGAAGCGGUAACAGCUCAAAUUUGAAAUCUGGGCCCUUCAGGCUCCGAGUUGAAAUUUGAAGAAGAUGCUUCGGGGGCGGCUCCGGUCUAAGUUCCUUGGAACAGGACGUCAUAGAGGGUGAGAAUCCCGUAUGUGAUCGGUGGCCUGCGCCCAUGUGAAGCUCUUUCGACGAGUCGAGUUGUUUGGGAAUGCAGCUCAAAAUGGGUGGUAAAUUUCAUCUAAAGCUAAAUAUUGGCCAGAGACCGAUAGCGCACAAGUAGAGUGAUCGAAAGAUGAAAAGCACUUUGGAAAGAGAGUUAAACAGUACGUGAAAUUGUUGAAAGGGAAGCGCUUGCAACCAGACUUGCGCGCGGUUGAUCAUCUAGGGUUCUCUCUAGUGCACUCGACCCCGCUCAGGCCAGCAUCGGUUUCGGUGGUUGGAUAAAGGCCUUGGGAAUGUAGCUUCUUUCGGGGAGUGUUAUAGCCCUCGGUGCAAUGCAGCCUACCGGGACCGAGGACCGCGCUUCGGAUACGAUGCUGGCGUAAUGGUUGUAAGCGACCUGUCUUGAAACACGGACCAACGAGUCUAACAUCUAUGCGAGUGUUUGGGUGUCAAAGCCAUGCACGUAAUGAAAGUGAACGGAGGUGAGAACCCUUAAGGCUGCAUCAUCGACCGACCCUGAUGUCUUCGGAUGGAUUUGAGUAAAGCAUACCUGUUGGGACCCGAAAGAUGGUGAACUAUGCCUGAAUAGGGUGAAGCCAAAGAAAAACUCUGGGGGGAGGCUCGCAGCGUUUCUGACGUGCAAAUCGAUCGUCAUAUUUGGGGUAUAGGGGGCGAAAACUACUCAAACCCU